GGCCUCCCAUGAUGGCAGCACUGGGCGCUGAACCCCAUUGAUGACGCCUGUGCCCCUCCCCCAGGGCCAUUGACCCCGGGGGGGGGUCUGAGGGGGCC